GUCUGUGAUGCCCGUUAGAUGUUCUGGGCCGCACGCGCGCUACACUGAUGAAGUCAUCGAGUUCAUUUCCUUUAUCGGAAGAUAUGGGUAAUCUUUUGAAACUUGCAUCGUGCUGGGGAUAGAGCAUUGCAACGUAUUGCGUCUUGAACGAGGAAUCCGCUAGUAAGUACUAAGUCACUAGCUUGUGCUGAUUACGUCCCUGCCCUUUGUACACACCGAGCCGUCGCUACUUACCCGAUUGAAAUGGCUUUAGUGAGGCCCUCGGAUCGAGGCUCGGAGAUCGGCAACAGUUUCUAUGGUUUUGAAAAGUUGGUCAACUUGGUCAUUUAGAGGAAGUUAAAGNCGUAACNAGGUUNCCNCAANUNAANNCNGCNNNAANGAUCGUUA
rnacentral:rRNA from 1 species